rnacentral:SRP_RNA from 1 species
UCACAGCCAGGAGAUGCAACGCAGACUCGAGGGCGAGGUCGCCGUGGCCAACAUCGCCCGGCAAAAGGUUC